UUGAUUUUAGAUCUAGCUGUGUGUCGGCUGCUCCACUGUACUCUGCCAGCCCACCGGCGGCAAGGCCCGACUGACAGAGGGUUGCUCUUUCAGGAGGAAGCAGCACUAACUGUCCCCAAGAAGAUGUGUUGCUGCGUUCGCUGAGUGUGGAGAUGGAAUGUAUAUUUUGAAGGACGCGGUGGGAGGGGAGGGCGCCUUGCUCAUCCAUCUGGGACACUGUAGCGCCCCAUCCCUUUCUCUCAAUAAAUUUUGGAUAAAAAUUU